UCCGUAGGCGGGCGACUAAGUCAGAGGUGAAAUCUCACAGCUUAACUGUGGAACUGCCUUUGAUACUGGUUGUCUUGAGUUAUAGUGAAGUAGAUAGAAUAUGUAGUGUAGCGGUGAAAUGCUUAGAUAUUACAUAGAAUACCGAUUGCGAAGGCAGUCUACGAACUAUAUACUGACGCUAAUGGACGAAAGCGUGGGGAGCGAACAGGAUUAGAUACCCUGGUAGUCC
rnacentral:rRNA from 1 species